AAGAUACUUUUUUUUUUCAGUGGUGGGGAGGUGUUGUUAUUAUGCAAACUAACCAGGGUUUUUGCCUUUUCUGUUUUAAUUUCAAAAUGACCUGGAAUUUGGAAGGGUUUACCACCAGCUUUAAAAAACUAAAAAGCUUUGAAGAUGGCGACAUAUAAGGAUCCCAAACACAUCUCUUCCCACCAACAUGCUGGAUCUACAGCUACAUAUGGAACAGCUACCUCUGAAAAUAACCUACAAAUUGGCUGAGUGAGUCUACACACUGGCCAUCGUGAGAAGGCCCACAUCGAAGCAGGAACCAUCUCUCCCCGACUGCCUCAGUCCAGCCAUUUGGUACCAUCUUCAUGCUCUCCCUCUGCCAUGUUCCAGAGCACCAGUAUCUCCCCGAAAGGAGCUUUCACACACAUCUGGUGCCUGAGGUUUUACAUCUAUGAGGCAGUUCAAGAUGGUGACCUAGGACGAUCGUGAACUCACCUCUUCCCAUGGACACACCAACUCUACAGCUACGUAUGGAACAAUUUCCGGAGAGAAAACUGAGGCUCACGGAAAAGUGACACAGCUUGGAUUAGGAUUACAACCAGCCAACUCGAGUCUGUUCUCUGCACAAUAUACUAUGUGACCUUCCCACUCUACCCAGGAAGAUUUCAGUUCCUACCCAGGAUCCCUGUGAGAUAAACAAGAAGAAAAGACUUGCGAACGUUUAGAAAUUUGUUAUCGCAAACACCAUGAUCAGCAAGAAAAUGAAAUCCAGAAAGUUGAUUCAAAAAUGGGAAGUGGAAGAUGUGUUAGAAACCACCAGAUUUAAUGUUAAUAAUGUCAUGUGCAUAUAUUAAAUAUGGGAUCUUCAUUAGUAACAUGUCAUUUCAGGUAUCUACAAAGACUAUUUUUAGUAGAUUCUUUAAAUCCAAGUACUGAUGUUGAUUAUUGGCUCAAGAGUUUUUAAAAAUCUGCUCACUUUUAAUUUUCAUUCUUUCUUCUGCACUCCCACCCUGCGCCCACUCCCCUCACCCCUGGCCACCACAGUCCAAAAUAAAACAGUCUGGAGUGCUGGCAAAGUUUUCAAGUGCUUUGGGAUAAAAUUUUUAUCUUAACAUCUCUUUCAUCAAAUUCUAUAUUCCUCCACUGUGGUCUCCAACCAAUGAAGUAAUUACUGUUUAUAUACAGUAUAUGACCCAAAACUGCAAUGGGUAGUGGAAUUGCUCUGUGUUGCAUUCCAAUAUUUCACACUUUUUUCACUAAUGUUCAAUACUUUAUUAGUAGAGAAUAAAUUGGUACAUUUCUUUUAUUGUCGUUUUUGCUUUCCUUUAUAAACCAGCUUGGAUGAAAGAAAUAUCAUAGGGUAGUUAAUCAUACAAAGGCUUGGUAGUGACAGUGUUUUUUUUUAAUGCAUUAUGAAGGUUUCUUUUGAAGAUGUAAAAAGAAAAUUACCCAUAAAAAAGAACUAUAACUAUAAAUCUGAAAAUGUGAGAUUUAUAUUGUGCAAG